rnacentral:rRNA from 1 species
CAGUCGCCGCGGUAAUACAGAGGGUGCGAGCGUUAAUCGGAUUUACUGGGCGUAAAGCGUGCGUAGGCGGCUAAUUGAGUCGGAUGUGAAAUCCCCGAGCUUAACUUGGGAAUUGCAUUCGAUACUGGUUAGCUAGAGUGUGGGAGAGGAUGGUAGAAUUCCAGGUGUAGCGGUGAAAUGCGUAGAGAUCUGGAGGAAUACCGAUGGCGAAGGCAGCCAUCUGGCCUAACACUGACGCUGAGGUACGAAAGCAUGGGGAGCAAACAGGAUUAGAUACCCCGGUAGUCCCUGUCUCUUAUAC